rnacentral:lncRNA from 1 species
ACUGGGCUUCUGGACUGUAUAUCCUAGCUGCCUUGUCAACAUCUUCGAGCAUCGGCAGCUCCGGAGGCCGGGCAGGUAGGAAACUAUGUGAAAGAAUCUCCUGAUGUCAUAAUUUCCGGGUGUCACCGGAACAUUUGAUCAUCAUUCCUUUGGCAAUUCCAGCCUUCUGUGGAAAGGCCAGUAGAAAGCAUUGAUUUAUUCACCUCUACAGGAAUCAGACUCAGCCUCUUUUGGUUUUCAGUGAAGUAUGCCUUUUCAAUUUGGAACCCAGCCAAGGAGGUUUCCAGUGGAAGGAGGAGAUUCUUCAAUUGAGCUGGAACCUGGGCUGAGCUCCAGUGCUGCCUGUAAUGGGAAGGAGAUGUCACCAACCAGGCAACUCCGGAGGUGCCCUGGAAGUCAUUGCCUGACAAUAACUGAUGUUCCCGUCACUGUUUAUGCAACAACGAGAAAGCCACCUGCACAAAGCAGCAAGGAAAUGCAUCCUAAAUAGCACCAUUAAGUCUUUUGUCAAGGUCUGACUAGGUCAAGGGUAAUGGACCAGUAUCAUCUGGUGAUCUGGUAAACAAAUAAAAGUGGUGGCACCUUUAGAUGAUGACAA